CUGGCUCAGGAUGAACGCUAGCUACAGGCCUAACACAUGCAAGUCGAGGGGCAGCAUGGGCUUAGCUUGCUAAGCCUGAUGGCGACCGGCGCACGGGUGAGUAACGCGUAUCCGACCUUCCGGCGGCUCGGGUCCAGCCUUUCGAAAGAAAGAUUAAUCCCCGAUGGUGUCAGGCAGUUCCAUGACAGCCUGACUAAAGA
rnacentral:rRNA from 1 species